GAGGCCUACAUGAGAGUCCUCUAUUCUGUAUAACAACUGACAAUGCCGCGAACAUGGUGAAGGCUGCCGCCCUGAACAAGUGGACCAGAUUGCAGUGCUUUGGCCAGACUGCAUCUUGCAGUUGCUAUGCAGUAGAAGGCGUAGAAGACCCCUGGAACGUAACAGCCAAGGAUUCCAACAGAGAUUCCAGCGUAGUCCAGCGCCAACCAGUGACGACAUGUCUUCUCUGAGAGGUGGCAGGAGAACAGACACACACCUGAAAGCAGAAGAGCGCUAUGCAGUAGAUGACAUAGUCUUCUCUGUUGGCACCUGAAGCUGGCAGCACUGCACACAUGUCAU